rnacentral:lncRNA from 1 species
CCACAUGCUCACGCCUCCACUGGCCAGCUUGUCGCACAGGAUGAAGUUCAGCUUCUCCGGGCUGAUGCGGAGGGUGCAGGUUUUGGCAAGCUUGGCUAUCAUGUUACUGACUCCUACAGCGAGGGGGGUAAACAGUAACUAAGCUCACUGAGGAGCCUACUGGUCUUCUUGCAGAACUUCUUUCUAGCUCACAGAUCACUCUUGUAUUUUAAUGCUGCUGACAUCCUGCCAGUCUCCCAACAACCCUGCGAGCCCACAGCACCAGAAUUCAAAACGGAAACAGAAUAAAGAAACAGUCUCAGAAGACAACUGACAACCGGGGGCCAGGCGGUUCCACAUUCCACAGAAACGUAGGAGCCACCGGGUACUGCAGCUCACAACUGCUACAAGCCCUGCCAGCUCACGUGUGAAAUGAUUCAGACAAGCCAGGUCCACGAUCUUGGCGCGAAACUUCAUGGCGGAUACCAGGCCGACGGCGGCGUUGGUCCAAGGCGGACAAAAGUCCCUCCCUGAGCGUCCCGGCGGGGAAACCUG